GGUGCGGCAGAACCUCUCCGGCACACUGUCGCCGGCGAUUGGGAGGCUCAGGUCUCUGCGAUAUCUGUAAGUCUCGAUCUGAAACUACUUUCUCUGUUAGCCCUGUCUGGAGCAUAUGAAUUUCUAGGGUAUUCUGAGGAGCCGUUCUAUUCUAGCGAAAUUCCCAAUUUCCCAUGUGGUAAGUUUAACAGAAUCUUUAUUAAUUCGUCGCAAGCACUUCGAAUUGUUGUUAUGAUGAUUCGUGGACUCGUGGGCACCGGGAUGUUUCUGCAAUGGAUUUGUGAUGAAGAAACGGUGAGUCUGUUUUCAAAUUGUGGCAGGUCUUUACGCCAAAACGCAAUUUCUGGUCCUAUCCCUAAGACCAUAGGCAGGAUGAAGCUGCUGCAUGUACUUGAUCUGUCAAACAAUCAGUUCAGUGGAAGCAUCCCGAGUACACUGGGUAGCAUGGUGAACCUCCUGUACCUGAAAUUGAACAACAACAGCUUAUCUGGACCUGUACCUGAUUCAUUAGCCACAGCUCGCAUGAUCUUCAUCCUGGAUAUUUCCUUCAACAACCUGAGUGGUCCCCGGCCAACUUUUCGUGCAUGGAAUGCCUUGUAAGUUGUAAGUGAUCUAAGUUUAUACUGUUAGAAUUGAUCUCCACCAGUUGGCCCAACGGGGCCAACUAAUCCCUUGACCAAGUGCCCUGAUCGGGGGCCCAGCCCAAGAUGAGGCUGGUGGGCCCCCAUCGCGCAGCCCUAUAAAGAGGAGGUGGAGGCUGGCAACUUAGGUUAUGAGGUUCACCACAGCCGCCACCGCCCCACUGUCCAAACCCUACCCGAUCUAGAGGGCGCGCUGCAGCGACGGGAAGCUCACCGACGCCACCGUCCUCGCUGUGUCAAGGACGCCCCCGACUCCGGACGUCACUGCACCAACCAUCGCCGCCCUAGAGCGGAUCGUCACCAAGGAACAGGAGAUGGCAAACGGGUCGAGUUCCACUAGAGAAGGUCAUCUUCCCUCUAUCCUAUUUGUCAUUAGUUCUAGAUCAAGGAUCACUUGUAACGAGAAAAGAAAAGUUCAAUGAAAUCCCUCUCGAUCUAUGCACUGUG